CCCUCUAGUUCUAUUUUCUGACUCUUUUCAUCUUAAUUUUAGCUUCUAGUCUAAAUUUUAAUUUUAGUUUUUCUUAUCGAUGUGCUACUUUGAUCUUGUGCUACUUUGAUUUUAUGUAGGCUAAGGAUUCUCACAUAGUUUCUUAUGGACCUUACUACAUCAAAUUUGGUAUUAGACUAAGGACUUUCCUUCUUAUCAGUUUAGGAUUUGUAAUUAUUUUCACAAGAACAAAAUUUUUUUUUCAACUCAGACUCCAAAUCUAAUUCCAUC
rnacentral:lncRNA from 1 species